GGGCGAGCCUGGAUCCAGCCAUGCCGCGUGUGUGANGANGGUCUUCGGAUUGUAAAGCACUUUAAGUUGGGAGGAAGGGCAGUANGUUAAUACCUUGCUGUUUUGACGUUACCGACAGAAUAAGCACCGGCUAACUUCGCUGCCAGCAGCCGCGGUAAUACGAA
rnacentral:rRNA from 1 species